CCACCGGCCCUUUUCAGGGCCACCCACAUCUAACAAAAGGAUCUU
rfam:Branchiostoma floridae genomic scaffold BRAFLscaffold_174, whole genome shotgun sequence.